UACAGAGGUGGCAAGCGUUGUUCGGAAUUACUGGGCGUAAAGGGCUCGUAGGCGGUUUGUCGCGUCGGGAGUGAAAUCAUCUGGCUUAACUGGGUGCUUGCUUUCGAUACGGGCAGACUAGAGGUAUGCAGGGGAGAACGGAAUUCCUGGUGUAGCGGUGAAAUGCGCAGAUAUCAGGAGGAACACCGGUGGCGAAGGCGGUUCUCUGGGCAUGACCUGACGCUGAGGAGCGAAAGUGUGGGGAGCGAACAGG
rnacentral:rRNA from 1 species